rnacentral:lncRNA from 1 species
CUCGCAGGAAGAAUAUCUGAUCGAGCCUUAUAGCAUGUCAACAGGUGGUUCUUCAGUGGGAGUGAUGCAUGUGAUCCUUUGAUCUGAGAUCAUCAUGGUACCUUGUGUAUAUGAACCCUUACUUUGGUUUAUUCCCUAACACACCACUUUGAGAUGUGUGUGGGAUAUUCUGGGUAUGGUGAAGUGUGUAUGGAGGUUAUGAGUGGUCAAUAAGAAAUCAAUCACUCUUUGUAGGAGGAGAGAACAUCCUAUGUGAUCUCAUAGGAUGGUGACUUUGAGAGUCUUUGAUCAGAGUAGGGAUGAACAGUAGAAUAGUUUCUACUAAUUUAUCAAUCAAGUCAUCAUCAUCAGAUCGAGAUAUAUAUGGAUAGAUAUUGGAAUUUGAUAUAUUUUCAUACCCAUAAUUUUUUUGGAAUGUUGUGUGAUCGAAGGAUUAAAUUGUACGGUAAUUCACCACAGAAGGAUAAUUUUGAUAUUUUCAUCAAAUUUUAAAUCUUUUGGGUAGUCAUGAU